rnacentral:rRNA from 1 species
UACGGGGGGGGCAAGCGUUGUUCGGAAUUACUGGGCGUAAAGCGCACGUAGGCGGCUUUCUAAGUCAGGGGUGAAAUCCUGGAGCUCAACUCCAGAACUGCCUUUGAUACUGGAGAGCUUGAGUCCGGAAGAGGUGAGUGGAACUCCGAGUGUAGAGGUGAAAUUCGUAGAUAUUCGGAAGAACACCAGUGGCGAAGGCGGCUCACUGGUCCGGUACUGACGCUGAUGUGCGAAAGCGUGGGGAGCAAACAGG